rnacentral:rRNA from 1 species
UACGAAGGGGGCUAGCGUUGUUCGGAAUUACUGGGCGUAAAGCGCGCGCAGGCGGCUAUCCAAGUCAGUGGUGAAAGCCCGGGGCUCAACCCCGGGAGGCGGGCGGAUACUGUCGAGCUAGAGUCCGGAAGAGGCGAGUGGAAUUCCUGGUGUAGCGGUGAAAUGCGCAGAUAUCAGGAGGAACACCAAUGGCGAAGGCAGCUCGCUGGGACGGUACUGACGCUGAGACGCGAAAGCGUGGGGAGCAAACAGG